CCUACGGGAGGCAGCAGUGAGGAAUAUUGGUCAAUGGACGAGAGUCUGAACCAGCCAAGUAGCGUGAAGGAUGACUGCCCUAUGGGUUGUAAACUUCUUUUAUAUGGGAAUAACAUGUUCCACGUGUGGGAUUUUGUAUGUACCAUAUGCAUAAGGAUCGGCUAACUCCUUGCCAGCAGCCGCGGUAAUACGGAGGAUCCGAGCGUUAUCCGGAUUUUUUGGGUUUAAAGGGAGCGUAGGUGGAUUUUUAAGUCAGUUGUGAAAGUUUGCGGCUCAACCGUAAGAUUGCAGUUGAAACUGGCAGUCUUGAGUACAGUGGAGGUGGGCGGAAUUCGUGGUGUAGCGGUGAAAUGCGUAGAUAUCACGAAGAACUCCGAUUGCGAAGGCAGCUCACUGGACUGCAACUGACACUGAGGCUCGAAAGUGUGGGUAUCAAACAGGAUUAGAUACCCUUGUAGUC
rnacentral:rRNA from 1 species